AUUACUGAUGUUGUAGCUACCUAGCAUGCAGCUACAGAAAUCCCCUUUGUUCACUAGUUCUCUCUCACAUAUAUAGUGGCUACAACUUUUUUUUU
rnacentral:miRNA from 2 species